rnacentral:lncRNA from 1 species
AUGUUUAAAUAAGAGCCCUUGUUGGAGCAACAUAAAUUUUGCCAAAAUUCAAAUUUAUGGUGAAUGUUGGGUUGAAGAAUGGUAAAUCCUAGGCUUUAUGGAAAGUUUAUGAAUCUAAUGAGAUCAUAUUUUUCUCUUUAUAUGUGUUGAUGUGAUUAAUUAUAUUGAAGAAUUUCAUAAUAUUUAAACUCACUGUCUUCCGGGAAUAGACCUUGCUUAGUAAGGAUGUGCUUUUAAAAUGCAGUAUUGGUUACUAUUUGUUAAUAUUUUAUUUAAAUUAUACAUCAAUAUUCACAGUAAACAGUCUGUAGUUUUUCUGUGCAAUGUUUGCUAACCUUAUGUUUAUUUCAUAAAAGAAAUUGGAAGUAAGCCUUUAUUUUCUGCACUUUGAAAUCGCUAUGAUAUGUUUUAGAAGAAUAUUUUAAAGACACAUCUGUGAUUUGAAUGACUUUAUUUGUCCACUAUUAUAUCCCAGUGAAAAGUUACUAUUAAGACUUAGCUCAAAGCCUACAUCCCUCAAGGGUUUUCUGUUAUUUUCUCUGCCUUCCUGUUCUAUUCUUUGGUUAUACUAAUAAGUCUGCUCAUGUUCUACCAAACAAGAGUUUCUUAAGUGUAGAAUUUUUUUUAUUUGUCUAGUACUGAGACUGGUACAAUAUAUAAUUAUUGAUUAAAGGAUCCUCAGGUGUCCUGGAAGAACUUGUUUCAAAAAUUUAGUUGUUUGAAUAAAGUAGAAGAAAAAGUGGUAUUCUGACUCAAUAUUCAUUUCCUAUUCCUUUGCUCCUUGAAGGGUUCCUGGAUCAUUGAGCUGGUAGAUAAACAUUAUGCCCUUUGAAGAACAAGUGAUAAUUUUAGUGGGAUUUUUGUCAGAGUCAAUUGGGAUGGUUUAAAUGAAAAGGGAUUUUGAAAAUCAAUUUCAAAUCAAUUUCUAAACUAUGAAACAGCAAGUAUUCGUUCUUCUUGUCUUCUUCCUUGAACUUGCAUAGUACAAAGGCCAGUCACUUAGGAACAAAAUACAUGAAUUUAGAUAUUCUAAAUACUUGAUUGUAUUGAUUUGUCCCUCAGAGUAUCUUCUGUAAGUUGAUCACCAGAGCACCAAUUUCUAUAGUGAGAUAAAAAUAGCUUUGUUAUGAAGAAUCUUUCAUCGAAAUAGAAAUAAACUUUAAUGAUACAGAUUUUAACAUCUGUCUGUAAAAGAAAAACACACUUAUCUUUAGCAGAAAACACAGCCUGUUUGCAUUAUCAAAACCACUGAGAGCUACCAUUGGAUAGAUAGCCUACAUGUGAUUAUAUGGUCACUAAAAAUGUACCUUCAAUCAUGGAGAUGAUUUCGAUUGCCGGUUAACAGAUAUACAUUGUAGUGAUGUCAUUUAACUCUUUUUUUCCAACCAUGUGUAUGUAAGUCAGAAUGUGUUUCCUCCCUCUGGGAAUCAAUACCCCCAUUCAAAAAAAAUAAUAAUAAAUAUAUAAUUAAUUAAAUACAGUCAUGCACUUCAUGAUGACAUUUCAGGCAACAAUGGACUGCAUAAAAGAUGGCAGUCCCAUAAAAUAAUACUAUAUUUUUACUGUACAUUUUAUAUGGCUGGAUAUGUUUAGAUGCAUGAAUACCUACUAUUGUGUUAAAACUGCCUACAGUGUUCAGUACAGUAACAUGUUCCGCAAGAGCAAUAGGCUAUACCAUACAGUCUAGGUGUGUAGUAGGCUAUAUCAUCUAGGUUUGUGUAAGUAUGCCCUCAUGUUUGUAUAAUGAUGAAAUCACCUAAUGACACAUUUUUCAUAAUGUAUCCCCAUUGUUAAGUGGCACAUGACUGUAAAUGAAUAAACAAAUCACUGAGAAAAUGAAAAUUAUGUAAUGCUUUUCCCCUGCUUCUUUCCAUUGUCUCCUUUCCCUCUUACUCCUAUUGUUACUACUACUGCUAAUUUUCUUCAUGUCCUUCUCAUCAAACAUUAUUAAAUAAAGUCAUAGAAUAUGUAGAAACAAACAGCCUUUAUUAUUUAAAUAAAUACCACACUUUUACCCUCAAAUUAUGUAGAUGCAAUCCAGGAGUCAGCCCCACUUACCUUUUGUGACACCUACCUGGAAAAAUCACAAUUCUAGAUAAACUCGGGUAUCUUCCUCUUGCCCAAAUCUAACCUUGAAAAGUACUACUAGAAUUACAUAAUAUCCCAGAUUGGCUCUUUAAAAUUCAUGGUCUCAGUCUCAAUGAGGUAACAGUAACAAGAGGCAAAAUUUCUAAUAUUCCCUACUCAGCUUCCUCUCCCAUUCCCGCAGCAGCAGCUUCAAACUUUUCUUACUUUCUUCAAACUCUCUCCUCCCUUACCUCAAUCCCCACACUGAGCACAAGAUUUCACAAGGAAUAGCGAAGCCAUCUGAUAGAUAUUUCUUCAGCUUCUCAUUUUUAUCCUGAAUCUAUGCUCUGCAUUUCUUCCUUUUCUCCUCCUGUUUUAGAGAGAUGACCCCUUUCUGUCUAAAGCCAAGCAUUUUUUUCUGAGUUUUAAAUCUCUAAAAUCAACAGAUAAGCUUUUUUAAAAUUUUGAUUUUAAUUUAAUACUGACAAAUAUUUUAAAAUAAUUGUAUAUAUUUAUGGGAUACAACAUGAUGUUUUAAUACACAUAAAAAUUGUGGAAUGAGCAAAUCAGUUCUAAUUAACAUAUUCAUCAUCUCACCUACUUAUCAUCACUUGGGGGUGAGAACAUUUAAAAUCCACCCUUUUAGCAAUUUGUAAAUAUACAAUACAUGAUUAUUAACUGUAUUUACUU